AGUAGUUUGGCGUUGGUUUGGUUGGCGUGCCUGUGGGUGAGAUUUGGCGCCUAGAACCACUGGGGCCUCAGCCCACCACCCAACUCCUUGAUAUGGGGAGAUGAAACCCAGGCCCCGACAUGU
rnacentral:snoRNA from 1 species